AUUGAACGCUGGCGGCAGGCUUAACACAUGCAAGUCGAGCGAGCGGCGGACGGGUGAGGAAUGUCUGGGAAACUGCCUGAUGGAGGGGGAUAACUACUGGAAACGGUAGCUACUAACGCAUACCAUAAGAUCUGCCAAGAUGGGAUUAGCUAGUCGGUGGGGUAAUGGAUCACCUAGGCGAAGAUCCCGAGCUGGUCUGAGAGGAUGACCAGCCACACUGGAACGGAGACACGGUCCAGACUCCUACGGGAGGCAGCAGUGGGGAAUAUUGCACAAUGGGCGAAAGCCUGAUGCAGCCAUGCCGCGUGUGUGAAGAAGGCCUUCGGGUUGUAAAGCACUUUCAGCUGGGAGGCGUUACUCGCAGAAGAAGCACCGGCUAACUCCGUGCCAGCCGCCGCGGUAAUAC
rnacentral:rRNA from 1 species